rnacentral:rRNA from 1 species
GCAGCAUGAUCUAGCUUGCUAGAUUGAUGGCGAGUGGCGAACGGGUGAGUAAUACAUCGGAACGUGCCCUGUAGUGGGGGAUAACUAGUCGAAAGAUUAGCUAAUACCGCAUACGACCUGAGGGUGAAAGUGGGGGACCGCAAGGCCUCAUGCUAUAGGAGCGGCCGAUGUCUGAUUAGCUAGUUGGUGAGGUAAAGGCUCACCAAGGCGACGAUCAGUAGCUGGUCUGAGAGGACGAUCAGCCACACUGGGACUGAGACACGGCCCAGACUCCUACGGGAGGCAGCAGUGGGGAAUUUUGGACAAUGGGCGAAAGCCUGAUCCAGCAAUGCCGCGUGUGUGAAGAAGGCCUUCGGGUUGUAAAGCACUUUUGUCCGGAAAGAAAUGGCUCUGGUUAAUACCUGGGGUCGAUGACGGUACCGGAAGAAUAAGGACCGGCUAACUACGUGCCAGCAGCCGCGGUAAUACGUAGGGUCCAAGCGUUAAUCGGA